rnacentral:lncRNA from 1 species
AGAGAUAAGUGACCUUGGAGGAGGAAAGAUUGCUAGCUAAUCUUCUCCAAGGGGCCGGCCUCCUAGAGAGAAAGGGAGAGACAUGUUCUCUCUAAUUUUCUCCAAAAGAAAACCCUAAGGAUGAAAUGUCUAUAAAGUUGCCUUUAUACCACCUCACAAUGGAGUGGCAAACUUGCAAUUAAGCCAAGUUCACUACCCCUUUCUAUAUGGCCGGCCAUUAAGGGUUCAUUGGGCUUUCAUGCCCUUUGUGUUUUCAAGUUGUCAUACAACUUGAGUUAAUGGGCUUGACAUUCAAAUCCCAUUGGGCCUUGCGGCCCAAAACUAACCCGAGGUCUUUAACGAACUUUAUUCGUUUGAUUCGUUAACAUAUUAAUUAAUCCUUGCCAUAAAUAAUUAAACCAUUUAAUUAUCAUUACUCAUCUCCGUUGUUUCUUCAAUCUCUAC